CUCCUGGAAACGGGUGGUAAUGCCGGAUGUUCCAGUUGAUCGCAUGGUCUUCUGGGAAAGCUUUCGCGGUAUGGGAUGGGGUCGCGUCCUAUCAGCUUGACGGCGGGGUAACGGCCCACCGUGGCUUCGACGGGUAGCCGGCUUGAGAGGGCGACCGGCCACAUUGGGACUGAGAUACGGCCCAGACUCCUACGGGAGGCAGCAGUGGGGAAUAUUGCACAAUGGGCGCAAGCCUGAUGCAGCGACGCCGCGUGAGGGAUGGAGGCCUUCGGGUUGUAAACCUCUUUUAUCGGGGAGCAAGCGUGAGUGAGUUUACCCGUUGAAUAAGCACCGGCUAACUACGUGCCAGCAGCCGCGGUAAUACGUAGGGUGCAAGCGUUAUCCGGAAUUAUUGGGCGUAAAGGGCUCGUAGGCGGUUCGUCGCGUCCGGUGUGAAAGUCCAUCGCUUAACGGUGGGUCCGCGCCGGGUACGGGCGGGCUUGAGUGCGGUAGGGGAGACUGGAAUUCCCGGUGUAACGGUGGAAUGUGUAGAUAUCGGGAAGAACACC
rnacentral:rRNA from 1 species